rnacentral:rRNA from 1 species
ACGGAGCUUGCUCUGUGGGAUCAGUGGCGAACGGGUGAGUAACACGUGAGCAACCUGCCCCUGACUCUGGGAUAAGCGCUGGAAACGGCGUCUAAUACUGGAUACGAACCGCGAAGGCAUCUUCAGUGGUUGGAAAGAAUUUCGGUUGGGGAUGGGCUCGCGGCCUAUCAGCUUGUUGGUGAGGUAAUGGCUCACCAAGGCGUCGACGGGUAGCCGGCCUGAGAGGGUGACCGGCCACACUGGGACUGAGACACGGCCCAGACUCCUACGGGAGGCAGCAGUGGGGAAUAUUGCACAAUGGGCGCAAGCCUGAUGCAGCAACGCCGCGUGAGGGAUGACGGCCUUCGGGUUGUAAACCUCUUUUAGCAGGGAAGAAGCGAAAGUGACGGUACCUGCAGAAAAAGCGCCGGCUAACUACGUGCCAGCAGCCGCGGUAAUACGUAGGGCGCAAGCGUUAUCCGGAAUUAUUGGGCGUAAAGAGCUCGUAGGCGGUUUGUCGCGUCUGCUGUGAAAUCCCGAGGCUCAACCUCGGGCCUGCAGUGGGUACGGGCAGACUAGAGUGCGGUAGGGGAGAUUGGAAUUCCUGGUGUAGCGGUGGAAUGCGCAGAUAUCAGGAGGAACACCGAUGGCGAAGGCAGAUCUCUGGGCCGUAACUGACGCUGAGGAGCGAAAGGGUGGGGAGCAAACAGGCUUAGAUACCCUGGUAGUCCACCCCGUAAACGUUGGGAACUAGUUGUGGGGUCCAUUCCACGGAUUCCGUGACGCAGCUAACGCAUUAAGUUCCCCGCCUGGGGAGUACGGCCGCAAGGCUAAAACUCAAAGGAAUUGACGGGGACCCGCACAAGCGGCGGAGCAUGCGGAUUAAUUCGAUGCAACGCGAAGAACCUUACCAAGGCUUGACAUAUACGAGAACGGGCCAGAAAUGGUCAACUCUUUGGACACUCGUAAACAGGUGGUGCAUGGUUGUCGUCAGCUCGUGUCGUGAGAUGUUGGGUUAAGUCCCGCAACGAGCGCAACCCUCGUUCUAUGUUGCCAGCACGUAAUGGUGGGAACUCAUGGGAUACUGCCGGGGUCAACUCGGAGGAAGGUGGGGAUGACGUCAAAUCAUCAUGCCCCUUAUGUCUUGGGCUUCACGCAUGCUACAAUGGCCGGUACAAAGGGCUGCAAUACCGCGAGGUGGAGCGAAUCCCAAAAAGCCGGUCCCAGUUCGGAUUGAGGUCUGCAACUCGACCUCAUGAAGUCGGAGUCGCUAGUAAUCGCAGAUCAGCAACGCUGCGGUGAAUACGUUCCCGGGUCUUGUACACACCGCCCGUCAAGUCAUGAAAGUCGGUAACACCUGAAGCCGGUGGCCUAA